GAGGUGAGAAACAAGUUAUUUCUUAAAAACCUUGGUGGGGUUCUUCCAAGCUCGUCGCAGGCCAAUUUGAUGUGAUUUGCUAAGCUUAGGCACUUGAUCUAGUUUUCAGCUUCAAAUUGGUCUGUUGAUACACACCUUUGAAUUAGUUUUGCUAUAUCCUCAAUUGCAGGGAAGAACUUCCAGUCUGAAUGUUUCAUCUGUUAAAUUGUCUGAAAAUUCGGUAUCUGCUGGACGAAGCACACCACCUGUUCGAUCAAAUGCCUAAGAGGAAGAUGAAUCAAACUGUAAGACGUUGGACCCUAACUUCUACCAAGGCUAUGAUUUGAUGUCUUCAAGUUCAAUAGCACAACAGCAUGCAUCAAUAAGUUUUGUCCAAGCGCAAGAACUUGAAAAUAAUGAUGAUUCUGAUCAACAAGUUGUUGAAAAUGGGAAAAUUGAAUGAAGAUGCUUAUGAAGAAAUGGAGGACAAGACUGUGGGAUUGCGCUCAUGGAUUAAUUAGACCUUUAAGUGGAAUAAUACUUUGUGCUUAUACUUAUUGAUUUUGAUAUUUUUGUUCAAAUAUCUGUUAAUAAACGUUCUUCUGACUAAACUGUAGAACAUGAGAUAUAUUAGUUGAGCUGCCCUGGAUUCUUGAUGCAUACAAGAAAUCGUCUUUUGAAUGUUC